AACGCGAAGAACCUUACCAAGGUUUGACAUGGCCGGAAAAGCAUCAGAGAUGGUGUGUCCUUCGGGGUCGGUCACAGGUGGUGCAUGGCUGUCGUCAGCUCGUGUCGUGAGAUGUUGGGUUAAGUCCCGCAACGAGCGCAACCCUCGUCCUAUGUUGCCAGCGGGUCAUGCCGGGGACUCAUGGGAGACUGCCGGGGUCAACUCGGAGGAAGGUGGGGAUGACGUCAAGUCAUCAUGCCCCUUAUGUCUUGGGCUGCAAACAUGCUACAAUGGCCGGUACAGAGGGCUGCGAACUCGCGAGAGUAAGCGAAUCCCGGAAAGCCGGUCUCAGUUCGGAUCGGGGUCUGCAACUCGGCCCCGUGAAGCUGGAGUCGCUAGUAAUCGCGGAUCAGCAACGCCGCGGUGAAUACGUUCCCGGGCCUUGUACACACCGCGCAUA
rnacentral:rRNA from 1 species